rnacentral:rRNA from 1 species
GUAGGUGGCAAGCGUUGUCCGGAAUUAUUGGGCGUAAAGCGCGCGCAGGCGGUUCUUUAAGUCUGAUGUGAAAGCCCACGGCUCAACCGUGGAGGGUCAUUGGAAACUGGAGAACUUGAGUACAGAAGAGGAAAGCGGAAUUCCACGUGUAGCGGUGAAAUGCGUAGAGACGUGGAGGAACACCAGUGGCGAAGGCGGCUUUCUGGUCUGUAACUGACGCUGAGGCGCGAAAGCGUGGGGAGCAAACAGGAUUAGAUACCCUGGUAGUCCACGCCGUAAACGAUGAGUGCUAAGUGUUAGGGGGUUUCCGCCCCCCUUAGUGCUGCAGCUAACGCAUUAAGCACUCCGCCUGGGAGUACGGCCGCAAGGCUG